rnacentral:lncRNA from 1 species
GAAUAUGAGACCUGCACCUUCCUUUCCCAUUGUGGGUGUGCUACAAUUUGAAGGAAGACAAUCACUUAUCCAUCUAAUUUAUGGAAGAUCUUGAUUGUGAAGGGCUCUUUGUAGAUCCCAUCAGAGCUACCCAGAAGAUCCUGAGCAUAAGCCCCUGCCUGCUUUCAACAACUUGGGAAAGGAGCCCUCAGUACUUUCUCCAACUCAGGCUUUUGUUUCUCUACACCCAGCAUUGUCCACCGUUUCUCAGCUGCCAUCUAUUUAUUGAGGAUCAUUGUCAAUGCACCUCUGAAUGCCAUGCCUACAUCUCUGGGUAAUGUUCCUCCAAACUUGGCAGCUGUCCACUCUUUUUCAGCAUGUACUGUCUUAGCAAUGCUGUUCUUGCUGUAAGAAAGCGUUCCCAUGUUGAUUUUCUAGCAGGGUUCUGAAUUCCUUCCAGCUCCUCUGGUUUUCUAAGGUGCAAUCCAUUCUAUUGUUUUCAGUUGAGGAGUUCCCUCUAGCCAAGAAUUACUUUUUGUUAAAUCAUCCUUUCCAAAUGUUUUCUCUACAAUCUCUGUAAUGAACUGACAGAUGGGUGUCUGAUCUUCAGGAGAUAUAAUGAAGAUUUAUUUUCUAAACUGUCAGGACAAGCCAAGGUUAUCAUACAAGAAAACUAACACACUGCAAAUUGCACUCAAUUCAACCAAAAAUGUCAAUUUCAUUGGCUGUGACUUUUUCCUCUGUAUCCCGUUGAUAAUAUAGAUAUACUUAUAUAUUCAGAGCUUGUAUCAUCGCAUUGAUUACCUUGCUGAUAAACACUAAUUUUUGAGAAGACCAGAGCUUUCAUGAGUUCCAUAAAUCUUAUCACAUUCAGGAUAAUACUUUUAAAAUUUUAACUAAGAAUGGAUAAUGGUUCUGGUCAUUUGGUUAUUCUGUGUCCUUCAGAGAAAUGAUCUGAAUAUCCCACUUGGGCAACUUGAAGAAAAAUGCCCACAUCUAUAGAUCAUCAAUGAACACUGAAUAAGCUUAGGUCCAGUUUAUGCCUGCCCAUAGACAGUGAACUCUGGAGGAUAGAAAUAUUACUAGGUGACAUCAUGGUAGAAGGAAUAGAUCUGCCACAAAGAAUUUCCAAUUUUCUAAAACCAACACAAACUUCUACCCUUGCUAAUAAAUAACAUCUGAGCCACUUGACUUUCUAAAGG